rnacentral:rRNA from 1 species
GACGAGCCGUACAAACGUUAUUCGGAAUCACUGGGCUUAAAGGGUGCGUAGGCGGCGCGGAAAGUAGGGUGUGAAAUCCCUCGGCUCAACCGAGGAAUUGCGCCCUAAACUACCGUGCUCGAGGGAGAUAGAGGUGAGCGGAACUUAGGGUGGAGCGGUGAAAUGCGUUGAUAUCCUAAGGAACACCGGUGGCGAAAGCGGCUCACUGGAUCUCUUCUGACGCUGAGGCACGAAAGCUAGGGUAGCGAACGGG